rnacentral:lncRNA from 1 species
UGCAUCCUCAUGGCCUAGCACUCAUCAGCCUCCAAGGAGCACCAAGAAUCACGCAGCUGCAAAGAAUAGUAAUGCCAAACAAGUCAAUCAUCAGACAGAGAACAGAGUUCGUGACAGAUUCAGCGAUGAAGGAGAGGAAUCUGAGCUCAAGGCUAGAACAAGAACCACUGCAGCUAGUCGUGUCAAAAGUAGAGGCAAGGUGAGCAAAACCAAAUAAGACUCAUACUGGUUUUAGUUUCUAUAUCUAUUCAAUGUUUCUCUUCUGUUCAAGGGAAAAAAAAUUUAUGCAGUUCAUACAGAAUUCAGACCAUGUAGUUGUUUCUACCUUCAUUUGAGAUGUAUGUGUAAUUGCAUUGCUUUCUUUAAAACAGGAUUAUGUUUUUGUUUAAUGCAAACUCCGUUCAUGUAACUUAUCGGUGUGGUUAUCCGUUGGAGCUAUGCUAAUAAUAUCUACCUUUUACACAUAUACUCCGUUCUAACACAAACGGAAACAUGUAUUAAAAUCUGCAUCUUCAACAAAAGAGCAAUCAAUAAUUGGUAGCCACUGAAAAGCAAACGUGUUUACGAAAUACUCAUCAUUCGAACAAACUUCAGAUCCAAACGAUUGAAUUUGGGAUAAAACAAAGAGGCUGAUGACAAAACAGGAGUUUCUAAGAUUACCUGAUUGUUCCAUAGGUGUGGCCCCAAAGUAGCUAACACACCAUAGCUUUGCCUAUUAACAAAGACUCCUGCUGCUUUCAAUACCUUCACAUGAUUCUUUUUUUAAAAGAACAAAUUUCAAUCAUUCAAGAUAUGUCAUUAUCAACUCUCACAAAACUUUCAUAAAUUACUAUUUCACAACAGGAAUAGAGUUAGAGAGAAUCUUAACCUGUUUGUAAUAUUCUUCUCCACCUUUCAACACAGUAAGAACCAUGUAGCUUCUGCCUGUUCACAACAGUAAAUAGAAAUGUAUCUAUCAAAGAAAACUCUACACACAAACGAAGGGUUUUGGAAAGUCAAAGCCGGUAAUUUGUAUCAAUAAUACGGUUGUGUUCGAAAAUGACUGAAAAGUUUUAGCUUAUUGACUGAACAGAAAACAACAAAUAGUUUUAGCUGGCAGCUUGCUAGGAGAGGACCGCACUCACGUAGAUGUGAUUCUCAAGUCACUUUCCACAUUGUAAUAUCAAAUCCACCAUGCACGUGCAGAAGCAAUAAACAGGUAGAUGAUAAUGAAAUAAGGGUCGUCCAAUCUAAUUCUAUGACCCACAAAAUGUGAGAGAAUGUGACUCAGUAAAUGCACAACACAUUGGACCUGGUCUACCAAUUUCAAAUUCCAGGAAGACCAAAGAAACAAACGAGUAAAGGCGUAGAAACAAACGAGUAAAGGCAAAGAACCAAGCAGUUCUGUCAAACUAUUAGCUUGCACAUGUUCAAUUGAUAACCGAAAGUGAUAUCUAAGGGAAAGAUUAACAAGCAACACGAACCUUAAACUUUUUAUCAAAAAUUUUGUGACUUCGAGAAACUUUGUACAAUCAAUCAACGAAACUAGAAUUCCAUAAUCAUAAGAGAAGAGUUAUGAAGCCCAAUCAGUAUAUUAAAGUAAGACUGACAUAAUUACAUUAGAUUCAGGUACAAGGUUCAAGACAGAGAACUCUAAAUUCCGCUUCCUAAAACUAAAUGAAGAACCUAGAGCUAAAAUCCUAAAAACUGCAAAAAAAUUCACGAGUCUUUCGAAUCACCAAACCAUCCUGAAAAUGGCAGAGAUUAACCCCUUGUGUUUCUCCUCAUUAUUCUGGGCACUAGAAGACCAAUGGAGUUGUUCAAACUCUGGAGUUGAAGCUCUUGUUCAAGUUUGAAAUCCAGAGCUCAAGCUAGCUGAACCUGAAACCGCAAAAACAGAUUGAUAACAACACAGUAUGCCAAACUAACAAUAUCCUUAAUCAACACACCCUAACUUCCAAAACAAAUUCUCAUUCCAUAGCAUUAUACCAUAUUGAACACCGAAAACAAUACGAAAGAACUCAAAUUGAUAUACAUUUCCUCCUCACUAACACUUUUACUAAGCUUAGCAGUUGGAGGAGCCCUUAAGUUCAAGAACGUGAAGGUAGCUGCAAUGGCACCACAAUCUAACUAGCUAAAACAAGCUUAUUGUAGAAAAAGCACUAAACUAGUAGUAGUAAUAUAUGCUUGUUCAACAGCAGCAACUGUAGUCGAAAUAAUAAACAAGAGAAAGCUCUAGUGUCUGUCUACCAAUGCGCAAACUCCAGAAAAUGUCGUUGUACAACCACCGCAAGCGGGGGAAGUGCAAUGACUUACUCGAUCAACGACUCGCAACCGAUGGACCGCAGAGAGAGAGGCUGAAUCUGAAUUUGGGUAUUCAUCUCCGUCGGGUUCCCGCCGCGGGACACGGCGAAGAUCGAUGUAGGGAUUGAUCCCGGGAAAUCGGUGACUGGCCCAAGUAGUGUUAUGGGCUUAAUGUGGGCUUUCAUAAAUGAUGGGUUAUGUCUAGUAAUAGGCCCUUCUUUCAGGUAUCCACGGGUUUUCGGGUUUUACCGACCCGGAUGGGAUU